rnacentral:rRNA from 1 species
AUUGAACGCUGGCGGCAGGCCUAACACAUGCAAGUCGAACGGUAACAGGAAGAAGCUUGCUUCUUUGCUGACGAGUGGCGGACGGGUGAGUAAUGUCUGGGAAACUGCCUGAUGGAGGGGGAUAACUACUGGAAACGGUAGCUAAUACCGCAUAACGUCGCAAGACCAAAGAGGGGGACCUUCGGGCCUCUUGCCAUCGGAUGUGCCCAGAUGGGAUUAGCUAGUAGGUGGGGUAACGGCUCACCUAGGCGACGAUCCCUAGCUGGUCUGAGAGGAUGACCAGCCACACUGGAACUGAGACACGGUCCAGACUCCUACGGGAGGCAGCAGUGGGGAAUAUUGCACAAUGGGCGCAAGCCUGAUGCAGCCAUGCCGCGUGUAUGAAGAAGGCCUACGGGUUGUAAAGUACUUUCAGCGGGGAGGAAGGGAGUAAAGUUAAUACCUUUGCUCAUUGACGUUACCCGCAGAAGAAGCACCGGCUAACUCCGUG